AUUGAACGCUGGCGGCAUGCCUUACACAUGCAAGUCGAGCGGCAGCGCGGGGGCGAACCCUGGCGGCGAGCGGCGGACGGGUGAGUAAUACAUCGGAACGUGUCCUUUCGUGGGGGAGUAACCAGUCGAAAGACUGGCUAAUACCGCAUGAGAUCUCACGAUGAAAGCGGGGGACCCGCAAGGGCCUCGCGCGAUUGGAGCGGCCGAUGUCGGAUUAGCUAGUUGGCGGGGUAAAA
rnacentral:rRNA from 1 species